rnacentral:tRNA from 2 species
GCGGGAGUGCCCGAGCAUGGUCAAAGGGGCCGGACUGAGGCUCCGGCGCCGUUGGCUGCGUGGGUUCAAACCCCACCUCCCGCA